GCUUCCCUCUCCUCCCCCAUUUGGAAAGUUUUCUCAGCAGAGGCCUGAGCACAUUCCUGACUUCUGGCUCAGGGAAGGACUUUCCCAACCUUCCAACAUUCCGGGCCCUCACUCACCCUGCUGACCUACCAAGAGUUCUGCUUGCUCCACCCCAAACAGCUGCAUUCCAGCUGUGGAGUUCUUAUGAAACUGCCAGGAAUCCUAGGGCUGCAAGGACUCGGUGAUACAAAUUUGGACUUCAAGGUCUGAAAGCCUGAGGCAGAAAGCUGGGCUACAGAGGGAGACCCUGUCUCAGCAAAAUGGAACCCGUCCUCUAUCUUUGUUGCCCAAGCUGAUGUCAUGUUCUAAGGGGCUGGAUUUGCUAAGCUGCAGCAAAAUGCCUUCCUGCAGAAGGACCCAGACUGCCUGCAGUGUGGGGCGGGGACCUGAGAAACAAGGCAAGGACAGGCAACUACUCUCCCUAAGAUGGAGGCUGCAUGAUGUAAGUGGCUGGCUAAAAUAUCUGGCAUGCUUGCAGUUUUAAGUUGCCAGCUAAAUAUUAUUAAAAAGAUAAAAUACACGCAAACUGUGCAGAAUGUAGGGCUGCUGUGUUUACAUCCGGGUUUUGAUGACUCAAAGCCUUACACUUGGGCUUGCUGAAAAGCUCUAUUAAAAACACAGCUUUCGAAAAGCCUCCGCGGAGCAGAAGGACUCGGGGGUGGUAGAAGGAUGGUAACCCCACCCCCACCCCAAGAUGCUGUUCAGCUCUGUGUUCCUGGCAAGCAUUUAGGGCCGGGGAAGUCUUAAGGGGUUAAACCUCCUUUCAGUUUGCAAACCAGAGCCGGGAGGGUUAACCUUUUUCCAGAACAUUUAUUUCACCAUCUCACUGAC